rfam:Corynebacterium falsenii DSM 44353 strain BL 8171, complete genome.
ACUCAGGCACGACCACCUGCGCAACGCUAGCCGCUGUGGACCGACCUGAUGUACACAACCUAAGGGA